CGACUUAUAAACUUUUGACCUGUAAACUUAUGAACUUAUAACCGUUACUUUAUAAGUAGUCGACCUAUAACUUAGGACUUAUAACCACGUGACUUAUAACUUAUAAAUUCAAAAAUGUAACUUAUAAAUUCGGAUUUAUAAGUUGACUUAUAUUCUAUAUGUCAUUCGCGCAAACUCU